UACAGAGGUGGCAAGCGUUGUUCGGAAUUACUGGGCGUAAAGGGCGCGUAGGCGGCCUACUAAGUCAGACGUGAAAUCCCCCGGCUUAACCUGGGAACUGCGUCUGAUACUGGAAGGCUUGAGUAUGGGAGAGGGAUGUAGAAUUCCAGGUGUAGCGGUGGAAUGCGUAGAGAUCCGGAAGAACACCGGUGGCGAAGGCGGUCGACUGGGCCAGUACUGACGCUGAGGCGCGACAGCGUGGGGAGCAAACAGG
rnacentral:rRNA from 1 species